rnacentral:rRNA from 1 species
UUAAGCCAUGCAUGUCUCAGUAUAAGCUUCUAUACGGCGAAACUGCGAAUGGCUCAUUAAAACAGUUAUAGUUUAUUUGGUGGUCAGCAAUUACAUGGAUAACCGUGGUAAUUCUAGAGCUAAUACAUGCGYCCAAACCCGACUUCGUGGAAGGGUUGUGUUUAUUAGAUACAGAACCAACCCAGGCUCCGCCUGGCCUUGAGGUGAUUCAUAAUAACCGAACGAAUCGCAUGGCUAUGCCGGCGAUAGACCAUUCAAGUUUCUGACCUAUCAGCUAUCGUCGGUAGGGUAUUGGCCUACCGUGGCCAUGACGGGUAACGGAGAAUUAGGGUUCGAUUCCGGAGAGGGAGCCUGAGAAACGGCUACCACAUCUAAGGAAGGCAGCAGGCGCGCAAAUUACCCAAUCCUGACGCAGGGAGGUAGUGACAAGAAAUAACAAUACAGGGCAUACAUGUCUUGUAAUUGGAAUGAGUAAACUUUAAAUCACUUUACGAGUAUCAAUUGGAGGG